CUGAAACACAUCCAUAUGCACACCACACACACUGAGAUACAGUGACACACACAGUCACAGAUGCACAGACAUAUGCUGAUGUAAAUGUACAAAUGUGGUCACACUGACACAUACAUGCAAUCAUCUACGCAGACUCAUAGAAACCGACACAAAUACCUGAAAUACACAGCCUGGGCGACAGAGUGUGACUGUCUUAUUAAUAAAUAAAUAAAUACGAAAAGUGGUUUGUUUUUUUACAAAUGUGUGGUUCAUACUCCUGGGUGGCCUUAUUAGCUUUUUUGGUUGGGAGACAAGGGAAGGAACUUUCUUGGAUCAGUGUGUGCUGGUGAUUUUAUUGCCUUUUCCUCUUAAUUCAAUCCCACUCUUUCCCUUCCUCAAGUCUUGUUCACCCAGCCUCCUGCCCCAGGAAUCACGGGGAAGAAGUCUGGGAGACCACAGAAAAAACACCAAUGACACUGAGCUAUUAGAGAUCAAAACUGGGUCAGGAAGAGUUCAUGUUAAGCUUUCACAUGUGCUAAGAACGCUGAAAGAUACACACUGAUUUCCAUCUUAAUAGUGCCAGAUAAUUGACAAAUUUGGGACAAGAUGAGGGAGAGGUCAAAAUCCCCCUAACUUCCCAAAGCAAAAAAACAGGAGUAUAAUGAUCAGAAACGUAAUAGUAGUGUCAGAAGCACACAAUCAGCUGUGGACGGUGAAACAUAUAAUGGUUCUAUCUGUUCUGAGAUUGUAAAAGCACAAUUAUUUUCAUCAGGAUAAAAAAUAAAAAUGAAAAACUAUGCUGUUGAAUGGAA
rnacentral:lncRNA from 1 species